CUACGGGGCGCUCCAGUAAGGAAUAUUGCGCAAUGGAGGCAACUCUGACGCAGCCAUGCCGCGUGCAGGAAGAAGGCCUUAUGGGUCGUAAACUGCUUUUAUUUAGGAAUAAACCCUCGCUCGUGAGCGAGGCUGAAGGUACUGAAUGAAUAAGCACCGGCUAACUCCGUGCCAGCAGCCGCGGUAAUACAGAGGGUGCAAGCGUUAUCCGGAUUUAUUGGGUUUAAAGGGUGCGCAGGCGGGCUAUUAAGUCAGUGGUGAAAUCCCGGGGCUCAACUCCGGAACUGCCAUUGAUACUGAUAGUCUUGAGUUUGGUUGAAGUGGGCGGAAUGUAGCAUGUAGCGGUGAAAUGCAUAGAUAUGCUACAGAACACCAAUCGCGAAGGCAGCUCACUAAGCCAAAACUGACGCUCAUGCACGAAAGCGUGGGGAUCAAACAGGAUUAGAUACCCUCGUAGUC
rnacentral:rRNA from 1 species